rnacentral:lncRNA from 1 species
GCAUCACAGACAAGACACCCAUUUUCACCUCAAAAAGUGUCAGAUCUUAGUCAUUCUGAUGGUCUUUUGGCCUUUUGGCUAAGCUACAGGCUCCAGUUAUUCAAUCGAACACUAAGCUAGGAGUUGCUCAGAAGGUAUUUUGAAGAUGUGAUUAAAGUCCAUAAUCAGUUGGACUCUGAAAGAGACUAUCCUAGUUAACGUGAGUGGACCUGAUUCAAUCAAUCGAAAGGUCUCAAAAAUCAGAGCUGAGGAUUUCCUGAGGUAGAAGAAAUUCCCCCUUUGGACAGCCCAUGCCCAGGACUUGCCCUUCUGAGAUGACCUGUCAUAUGGAUUUUGGACUUGCCUAGCCAACUCCUUGCAAUAAACCUCUUACUAUUUAUCUUCUACUGCUUCUGCUUUUCUAGUUAAACUUUCACUGACAGAGUCAUCUUCUGACUAACAUUCUCUUGGACUAUGUAGCCUUAGCUUCAUUCUUCAUAAACAUGUCUUAGCCCAUAAAACUUUUAAAAAACAAAUUAGUUUCAAAUUGUUUCUUUUAAGCAGAUAUAGUUGCUCUAAAAAAAAAAACUUUAAUAAGUUUUCUUUUAAUAGAGUCAAUGACCUUCUUGAAUAAUUCUUGUAACUAGUGAUCUGUUUGUAUACCAUUUAAUUUUGUGUUUAUUUAAAUUUUAUUCCCCCUUCCCCUCUUUUUUUCCUGCAUUUUAUUGGAUUGUUUAAAAAUUUCAAAAUUUCUCCUACUGUUUUCUUUUGCUGGCUUGAGACCUAUACAAUGCAUCUCCUUUUUUUUAGUGGUCAUUAUUAUAUCUAUAGUUCUUUAUAUUUUUAGUGAUAAAUAUAGUCAUUUGGUAUUUAUAGCCAGUUUCCAAGCAUGCUUUGAAACUUAUUAGGUUUUAUGGCGUUCGCAUCAUGGCGCAGUGGUUAACAAAUCCGACUGGGAACUCCUAACCAUAUACUUUAAUCACAUAGAUCAUAAUUCUUGUCCAAGUGAUUUUAUUUAUUUAUUUAUUUCAGCUGCACUUGCAGCACAUGGAAGUUCCCAGGCUAGUGGUCGAAUGGGAGCUGCAGCUGCCAGCCUACGCCAGAGCCACAGCAACGUGGGAUCCAAGCUGCGUCUGCAACCUACACCACAGUUCACGGCAAUGCUGGAUCCUUAAC